GCUUGUUGGUGGGGUAAUGGCCUACCAAGGCGACGACGGGUAGCCGGCCUGAGAGGGCGACCGGCCACACUGGGACUGAGACACGGCCCAGACUCCUACGGGAGGCAGCAGUGGGGAAUAUUGCACAAUGGGCGAAAGCCUGAUGCAGCGACGCCGCGUGAGGGAUGACGGCCUUCGGGUUGUAAACCUCUUUCAGCAGGGAAGAAGCGCAAGUGACGGUACCUGCAGAAGAAGCACCGGCUAACUACGUGCCAGCAGCCGCGGUAAUACGUAGGGUGCGAGCGUUGUCCGGAAUUAUUGGGCGUAAAGAGCUCGUAGGCGGCCUGUCGCGUCGGAUGUGAAAGCCCGGGGCUUAACCCCGGGUCUGCAUUCGAUACGGGCAGGCUAGAGUGUGGUAGGGGAGAUCGGAAUUCCUGGUGUAGCGGUGAAAUGCGCAGAUAUCAGGAGGAACACCGGUGGCGAAGGCGGAUCUCUGGGCCAUUACUGACGCUGAGGAGCGAAAGCGUGGGGAGCGAACAGGAUUAGAUACCCUGGUAGUCCACGCCGUAAACGUUGGGAACUAGGUGUUGGCCACAUUCCACGUGGUCGGUGCCGCAGCUAACGCAUUAAGUUCCCCGCGGGGG
rnacentral:rRNA from 1 species